UAGGUAGCAGAUACUUGGCUCAUGGAGCGU
rnacentral:piRNA from 1 species